rnacentral:lncRNA from 1 species
CACUUUACCACAUCUCCAAUCCUUUUUAUUUUUUAUUUUGAGACAAGAUCUUGUUAAGUUUCUGAGGCUGGCCAUGAAUUUAUGAUUUUCUUGCUUCAGCCUCCCAAGUCACUUGGAUUAUGGGCAUAAGCCAGUGUGCCAGUUUGCUAGUGAUUUACCUAAGCUGAAUAUGUGUUAGUUUUGAGUUCAUACACUCUUCUUAAAGCUAUUUAUACUCUUCUUUGUUCUAGCUUAAUUUUAUUGAAACUGAUAAAAUCAUCUUGACUGCUUAUUCCCCUUUCCAGUGUAAAUCUUCUUAAAAAUGGGAAUAUGAAAAAUAAAAAAGAAAAAUUAAAAACCAACAAGAAAAAAAGUAUCUAUCAUGGGCAUAUCACAAUAAUCUAAAAUUGGUUUAUCGUGCUUUGAGAGAUUAGCUGAAUAUCCGGCUGAAAUAUGUUUGAUGAUUACACUCUUAUCAAGGAAUUUUAAAAUCAAUUUUUAAAACUCUGGCAUUAGUCUGAAAAAAUAAUUCUUUUAAUAUUAAAAAAUUAACUUCUGAUAAGUAUUCCAUAUUUUCUCCUCAGGAUGAAGGAAAAAUCAGUAGUUCUGAACUUAUAAAAGUCUAAUAGCGGCCUGGGACUGUGGCUCAGCAGUAGCGCACUUGCCUGGCAUGUGUGAGGCACUAGGUUCGAUUCUCAGCACCACAUAUAAAUAAAUCAAGAUCUAUCAACAACUAAGAAAAAAAUUUUUUAAGAAAAGUCUAAUAUAUAAAUUGCCAAAUAAUAGAAUAAAAGGGUAAAUAAAAGUUGGAUUAUUAAAUAUACUAGAAAGUUUCUUCCUUUUACUUUCUAAUAUUGCUUACCAAAUUGAUUCAUUCUUAGUACAGCUUUUCACUGUUAGGAUUUUUUAAGACUGUGUGGAAUAUUGAUAGAUUGUUAUUUAUACCUUGUUAUUUAUACCUAAUGGUGAAAAGUAACCCAUUAUGGUUUUUGAACAGGCAUUUUAGAAUGGCAAAAUUGUCUAGCUUUCCUGCCUCAUUUUAUAUCCACAUACAUUUGAUAGGUUUUAGCCAGAAGGCUCUCUUAUAACCUUAUACUCUUAUGUUAUAGUCUGUUAUUGAAACCAAUUCUGUUUUUCCUGUCUACAAUCCCAACAGAUACAGACAGGAAAAUGUGAGAAUUGCAGCCACUUUAAAGUGAUGGUCCAGGAUGUUAUUCAGAUAUUUGAUUAUUAGGUGGGUGAUUAAUCUUUGUGACUUUGAUCUCCAUGCUGUUUGAGUUUCUAGGAUUUUAUUUUAGACUAUGGUGUGAAUGGAAGCAGGAGAUAUUUUGUAUUUUAAAGGACAAAGUUGUUAACACAAAUUGUAACUAACUUUGGAACAUUGUAGGGAAUAGCAGUUUGAUCAGUGUCUGAAACUGGAGGCAGCCCAAUGUUGUGGAAAAGAUUCUGGCUUUGGUCCCCGAGGAUCUAGAAUCAAGUGUGUAUGCCCUUUGGUAGGUUACAAGUUCUUUCUUUCACUGGCAUAACAUUAAGAGAGGGUAAAAUUUUAAUCUGUUUCUUAAAAGUAGCUAUCAGUAAAAGAAUACAAUUUUUGCCUUUGAGAAAUUGCUUAGCCAGACUAUGUGGUACAUGCCUGUAAUUUCAGCAAUUUGGGAAGCUGAGCGAGGAGGAUCAAAAGAUGGAGACCCCAGCCUCAGCAACUUAGAGCGGGACCCUGUCUCAAAGUAAAAAUUUAAAAAAGGGCUAGAGAUGUAUGUCAGUGUCUAAGUCUUACUUUACCACUGAAAAAGAAAAAGAAAUUGUUGUAGUAUCAUCUCACCCUGAGUUCCCAGAAAUUUCUUUUCUGAUUUGGAUGCCAAAUUUGAGUGUCCUAAUUGAAGAGCUAUUAGAGGACCGAAGAUUACUAUGAUGUUGCUAAUGACCAUUGAUUUACUCUAAAUCCAGCUGUUUACUGUUAAUCAUUCCACAUAUUCCUAACUAUGGAGCCCUUGAGCUAUUGUAUAUUUUCUCUAUAAGAAACUGAUCUUUGACUUCUAUUUUACUGUUGUAUGGUAAUUCCCUAUUUUUUCCAAAAAGCUUGUCUGAAACUCUAAAUUAGGGAUUUCUAUUCAUUCUCCUGUGCUGUAUCAUGGUAGUUUACCAUUGUAUCAUUUGCUGUUUAUUUGGAAUUCCCACUUGGUCAUAAUGUCCAAAACACUGAUAGUAAUAGUGUAUACCGUAUAAUGGUCAUUGUUCUGAGUUUUUUAAGUGGACUAGUUUAUUCUCAUAAGAGGCUUUAUGAGAUAGAGGAUAUUAAUAUCUCUCAUUUUGCUGAGGUAUAGGUAUAUUAACUUGCCCAGGGUAACAUAUUAGUGUAAGAGCUGCAAGCUGCAAUUUGAAUUGGGCAGCCUGACUUGAAAGAAAGGAAUUGUCUGUAAAAAGAUGGGUAAGAAAAUGAAUGUCUUUGUAAUUUCUAGGAUAUGGUUCAUGAAUUAGCAUUUUUAUUUGAAUCUUUAAAAUAUUUGCAUUCAUUUUUAAUCAAGACCUAGACCAAAAUUCUUCAUGAGAAGGCAGCUCUUUAUAUAAGGAAAAAAUAAUGGAUUUAAUUUGCAAAAUUUAAUGAACUCAUGUCACAUGAUAUAAUCCUGUUUUCUAUUGUUACAUUGGAUGGGUUAUUAAAGUAUAUAACACUUUAUAUGGUAUGUUUCUAUAUAUGCCUACAUAUAUAGUCUGCCCUCUGGAUUUUGCAUUUGUGGAUUCAACCAACCAUGGAUCAGAAAU